AUUGAACGCUGGCGGCGUGCCUAAUACAUGCAAGUAGGACGCAGUUGCGAACGGGUGAGUAACGCGUAGGUAACUACCUAUUAGAGGGGGAUAACUAUUGGAAACGAUAGCUAAUCCCGCAUACUAGUAGAUGGACCUACGUUGUAGUAGCUAGUAGGUAAGGUAAUGGCCUAACUAGGCAACGAUACAUAGCCGACCUGAGAGGGGUAUCUGCCACCCUGGGACUGAGAACCGGCCCAGACUCCUACGGGAGGCAGCAGUAGGGAAUCUUCGGCAAUGGGUGGAACCCUGACCGAGCAACGCGGCGUGAGUGAAGAAGGUUUUCGGAUCGUAAAGCUCUGUUGUUAAGGAAGCGGUACUUAACCAGAAAGGCACGGCUCACUACGUGCCAGCAGCCGCGGUAAUAC
rnacentral:rRNA from 1 species